rnacentral:tRNA from 1 species
GUCUUUGAAAUCGAUGUGAUAUUGAUUCGUAAUCAAUAGGUCCGCGGUUCGAUUCCGCGCAGCGGCA